GGAAUUUUCCGCAAUGGGCGAAAGCCUGACGGAGCAAUACCGCGUGAGGGAAGACUGCCUAUGGGUUGUAAACCUCUUUUUUCAGGGAGGAAUAAAAUGACGUGUACCUGAAGAAUAAGCAUCGGCUAACUCCGUGCCAGCAGCCGCGGUAAGACGGAGGAUGCAAGUGUUAUCCGGAAUCACUGGGCGUAAAGCGUCUGUAGGUAGUUUAAUAAGUCAACUGUUAAAUCUUGAGGCUCAACUUCAAAAUCGCAGUCGAAACUAUUAGACUAGAGUAUAGUAGAGGUAAAGGGAAUUUCCAGUGGAGCGGUGAAAUGCGUAGAUAUUGGAAAGAACACCGAUGGCGAAAGCACUUUACUGGGCUAUUACUAACACUCAGAGACGAAAGCUAGGGUAGCAAAUGGGAUUAGAUACCCCAGUAGUC
rnacentral:rRNA from 1 species